AGUCCUUCCUUCAAGAGCUUAAAAAGCUCACUGUUUGAGGAAAUACAUGAGGAUGAAACGGUACUUCAAGCCUCAACAGACUGGUCGACCCGAAAGAGCCUCAUAUCAGGGUGGUGGGAGAAAGAGAGACCCCGACUGGUCAACACCAUGGUGGCUGGACAACAUGCGGCAACUCGGAUCUGCCAACAUUGUGGAAAUGGUCCAGCCGUAAUCCGUUGUUGUGACUGCCGACCACACCCAUUCCUCUGUGGCCAGUGUGAUGUCAGGGUCCACCGAGGUCAAGUGUUCCACAACAGGGAUUCGAUGACACAUGCAUUCUUUCAUCCAUUGCCUCCCACAACUUGUGUUGUGGAGAGGGUUCUAACCCAGUGUGAGCGUCUUGUACCUUUGGAGAUGCCAGAGACAAUAUGCGGUUGUCUACGAGUAUCGUCCAGUGUCAUCGCAGGACAGUCCAUAGUUGUGGUUACAAUGAAUGGGCGAUAUGAUCUCAGAUUGCCUCAGAUUAGAUGCAAAGCAUGUGAAGCCACUUGGAGUCCUGGAGUGGAUGACCUGAUCCGUAAUGACUACUGGCCUGCCACUUCUCACUAUUCAACUGUGUAUGCAACAGAUGUCCUUUUUUCUUUUGAAGAGCUGAAGAUGGCAGCACCAGGGAUGUCUAGCCAAGCAUUUCUUAGAAUGCUGGAUCAACGCACUGUUCGAUUUGGCCGUAGUGGAAACAUCACAGCAGACAGCUUCCGGAAAAGCUUCUUGGAGUGGGAAGCUGUCCGAUUCGAAGUGGACAAAUUAUGCCAGGAGGACCACUUUGACUGCCCAGCGUGCAGCCCAGACAUGCUUGCAGUAUCCGUUGAUGGAAACCGUAAGCACUACAGAUUCAAGAGUGCAGCAAGAUCGGAGGAAAAAGCCAUCUUUGAUGGCGUGUUCAUCGCAAAUGAUGAUGAUGUCGCAAGAUUCGUGGACUAUGUCCAUACCUCAACCAGUCAUGUCUCUGGAAGAGGUGUCUGUGGAGGGCAAUGGUCAGCGGCGCGUGAAACUUCUCAGAAGUCCUCAGGAAAAACAGACGAGGAGGGCCUGGAACUCGCUGUAUGUCGUCAUGGGGUUCUCCUUCGUGCCCUCAAUAUGUUCAGGGGGGAGAUUUUUGCCUACCCCCUGUACCUCCAAAAGCAAAUGCAUACCUGCCAACCUUAA
ensembl:lncRNA